AGAGUUUGAUCAUGGCUCAGAACGAACGCUGGCGGCAUGCCUAACACAUGCAAGUCGAACGAGAAGCUAUCUUCGGGUAGUGGAAAGUGGCGCACGGGUGAGUAACGCGUGGGAACCUGCCCUGAGGUUCGGAAUAACGAUUGGAAACGGUCGCUAAUACCGGAUGAGCCCUGAGGGGGAAAGAUUUAUCGCCUUGGGAGGGGCCCGCGUCCGAUUAGCUUNUUGGUGUGGUAACGGCGCNCCAAGGCUUCGAUCGGUAGCGUGGUCUGAGAGGGA
rnacentral:rRNA from 1 species